GUGGAGGGCGGAGAAUGUUGCUUGUUUCGUGUUACCCCAUAUCUGAUAUGCUCGGUUGUUUGCAAGAAUGAGGAUGUGUGUCCCACCCAUUUCUGGGUAAUUAGACCAGCAAGAAGGGUAACCCCACAAUCCUGGCUGGAGCCACCCGGGUCAGGCAGCCAGCUGUUCUCCUGAAGCACGGCUUUGUCCCAGUUAACACAAGUUCCCCACGCAGAGAUGCUUCCCAUGCACUGCUUCAUACAUGAGGCCUCAUUUUCUGUUAUCCCAGUUUCUCUUUUCCCCCUCCAGGAUCUCCACGACUGAGGCUCUGCAUGUCAGGGACCACGGAGGAAAAGGAAGUGAAGGGCCCAAAGCGAAGCUGAUUUCCUGGGGUUUCCUGGUGAGUCAGGAGCAGAGCUGGGAGCCGAGCUCUAAGCACGCUCUGCAGCUCCCGGCCCCACCAAGCUCCAGGGCAGGAGCCCAGCUGGAUGCAAGCUGCGCUGGGGCAGAGGGAGCUGGAGCAGCAAAGUAUGGUCACGCAGCAAGAAAUCACUGCAGGGAGGCCAGGACAUGUUCAUACUUUGGCUGUGGACCAUUGAAAUGAAAGUUUGGGAAGGGUCAUGUCUAUGCCAUGGUGCUGUCCAAACAACAAUGUGGUUCCCAGCCUCGUGCACAGGCAUUUGGAGGAUUAUCGGGCUCCUGUGAGACAGCAGGGGAAAAUGUGCCCAGGAGGCUAUUCUCAAUUUUCCUCCUUGCAGGUGGUUUGUGAGAAGUGAUUGCUCCCUGUCAGGCAGCUUCUUGGCCACAGCUGCAGCACAACAACUCCUCCAGCCGUGGCAGCCCAUGCCGGGCAAUGUGGAUGGAGGACAGCUGGGGCACGGCGCUGCCCGGCCUUAGGGCUCUGUACAUCCUGCCCACAGCAGGCAGCAGUUCCUUAUGAGAAAUCAUGCUGUCACGGAGCCUGGUGGAGCAUUUCAGCUGGGCAAAUAAACCUGCAAAGCACUUCUUCCUGCAGUGUCAGGGCACCUGGAGGUUCGUUAGGGAACCACCAAGCCCUGCCUGUAAAUGCAAAAUCCUCCAGACCGAGGCUGCUAACACUGAGGGCUGGCAGUUCAUAAUGACAAAGGUGUGGUGUGAGGUGGCUUCUGAAAGACUUUGGAAGUGUCGGGCUAAGUGUAAAUGGGGUACACUGGCCCUCUUUGCAGGACAGGACCAGUGCACUUUCCAGCUGAAGCAGCUGAGCAAUGUGCAAUGUGUACCCCAGAGCUCCUGGGGCUGUGCCUGACCCACAACUCCAUGGGGUGUCAUAAUUCCCAUAGCUCCUAAAACACCCAUGCCAGGGUGCCCAGGUUGCAGGGAUGAAUUCAGUUUUUCUCCAGAAACAUCUUUUUGUAAUAGGGAGCUCGGAGGAAACAAUAGUGCUGGCUGGUGGGGGAGACACCUCGCAGAGUUUGGCCGUAUCUGUGUCACAUCUGCCUGUGCAGGGAGCCUGGGCUGGGAAGCUGUGGGUUUGUGUUCCUGUAGCACACAGCAACACGAUACUCCCAGGGAGUGCGUAAAACAUGGAAAACAGCAAGGAUCCCAGAAUAGGCUGGAGCUAAUUGCUGACAGGAAUACGUGCCAAGUUUGAGAUUCUGGAUUUUUAUCUUCUGAGUGCUCCUGGCCCCCAGCCCAAACUACCACAGAAAUUGCCCAUGUCUCCGGAGGGAAUGGCUCCACAGACACGGUGGAGUUGUCUCAGAGGGAUGGUAUUCCUCACUGCAGAAGGGAUCUUCAAGGUUUCAGCAGCCUGCCCGGGCAAUGCAAUCAGGACAUCCCAGCUCAAGGCAGGAAAUAUUAAGGACUGAGAUGAGAAUGGAUCUACUGAGGUAGGAACCAGCUCCAAUCCCUCAGAGCAGAGAAUCGGACUGGUUCCUCAGGGUCCAACCUUCUGCCCCAGCACGGGCUGCAGGGGCUUGUCCUCUGAGUGCUUUUGGGGUGGGUGAAGGAGGAUUUGAAGAGGGUUCUCAGCCACAGCACCCUGUGCCUGGCAAGGGGAGACCUGGCCCUGAGGGGACACGGCUCGUGGGGACACUGCUGAUGGCAGA